ACAAUCUGCACGUAGUCAGAAGAUAGGAGAUCUAUUAGGAUACGGUCACGAUUUUUUCAAAACAUCCAGCAGUUUUUUUUUGUUUUGUUUUGUUUAGAGGAAUUUGUCCCCUUGCUUAUUUAUUCCUCGUUUUGUUGGCAGAUUGCUGUGUGCAAAUAAAUGUAGCUGUUGGCCAGUCUCACCUCGUGAAUGAAUCAUGAGUUCGAAUGGGGAACUAGGGCGGACACUGCAAACACCUGAACCAGACGUUUGGCGAGAAAAAUGUAUAGACGAGCUGUAGGGCAGCAAUGUGGAAAGAAUCAGCCGUAAAAAAAAAGGAGACGGGACAGAAAGAAUAAACAAACGAUGACGAACAAGAAGAGCCCAUGGUAAGUGCAUCACGCAACGGCGACAUUCGGUGCAUUUCCCACACGCAUCAGACAUAUGGCAAAUGUUACGUAGCAGCUCUUGGAUAUCUCCAAUCUUCUGACGAUUUUUGUUGUUUACCACUGCCGGCAAUUUACAUCGACAUUACGCAAUGAUAUGACUAAAAAAAAAAACGCAUGUUCGGCUCUUCCUUAUUUAUUGCGACCGAAGAGAAAAAGAAAAUGCGUGGCUAACACAUUUGACUUUUAAUACUUCGCUUUUUACAAGGUCGAUUUUGAAAGGCUUGCGGAAGACGACUCGAAUGUCCGACUUUGAUGUUUUCUUAUGUGUUGUUGUUGUUUAACUUUGAUUGAGUUUUGUUUGUAUAUACGAAAUCUUUAUUUUUAACAUCAGCUGAUGAAGGCCAACAUGACCUCCAACGCGAUACUCUUCGGAUAGUUACACGAUUGAUUUAUUUUCUUUUGAAGCUUCUUCUUUUUUUGUUUCUUGUUUUGUUUUUUCCUCGAUACGGGUGAUAAGACCGCGCUGAUAACCCACCAUAAGGACCCCAGUAAAGAAUUGUUUACGAAAA